GGGUUGCGGACAGUGUCUGGUGGGUAGUUUGACUGGGGCGGUCUCCUCCUAAAGAGUAACGGAGGAGCACGAAGGUUGGCUAAUCCUGGUCGGACAUCAGGAGGUUAGUGCAAUGGCAUAAGCCAGCUUGACUGCGAGCGUGACGGCGCGAGCAGGUGCGAAAGCAGGUCAUAGUGAUCCGGUGGUUCUGAAUGGAAGGGCCAUCGCUCAACGGAUAAAAGGUACUCCGGGGAUAACAGGCUGAUACCGCCCAAGAGUUCAUAUCGACGGCGGUGUUUGGCACCUCGAUGUCGGCUCAUCACAUCCUGGGGCUGAAGUAGGUCCCAAGGGUAUGGCUGUUCGCCAUUUAAAGUGGUACGCGAGCUGGGUUUAGAACGUCGUGAGACAGUUCGGUCCCUAUCUGCCGUGGGCGCUGGAGAACUGAGGGGGGCUGCUCCUAGUACGAGAGGACCGGAGUGGACGCAUCACUGGUGUUCGGGUUGUCAUGCCAAUGGCACUGCCCGGUAGCUAAAUGCGGAAGAGAUAAGUGCUGAAAGCAUCUAAGCACGAAACUUGCCCCGAGAUGAGUUCUCCCUGAGACUUUAGGUCUCCUGAAGGAACGUUGAAGACGACGACGUUGAUAGGCCGGGUGUGUAAGCGCAGCGAUGCGUUGAGCUAACCGGUACUAAUGAACCGUGAGGCUUAACCUU
rnacentral:rRNA from 2 species